rnacentral:rRNA from 1 species
UACGUAGGGAGCAAGCGUUGUCCGGAAUCAUUGGGCGUAAAGCGCGCGCAGGCGGCUGGUCAAGUCCGAUGUGAAAUCUCCCGGCUUAACUGGGAAACUGCAUCGGAAACUGAUCGGCUUGAAGGUGGGAGAGGGUAGUGGAAUUCCCGGUGUAGUGGUGAAAUGCGUAGAUAUCGGGAGGAACACCAGUGGCGAAGGCGACUACCUGGCCCAUUCUUGACGCUGAGGCGCGAAAGCUAGGGGAGCGAACGGG